UGGGGAUGACGUCAAGUCAUCAUGGCCCUUACGGCCUGGGCUACACACGUGCUACAAUGGUCGGUAACAAAGGGUUGCCAAGCCGCGAGGUGGAGCUAAUCCCAUAAAACCGAUCGUAGUCCGGAUCGCAGUCUGCAACUCGACUGCGUGAAGUCGGAAUCGCUAGUAAUCGUGAAUCAGAAUGUCACGGUGAAUACGUUCCCGGGCCUU
rnacentral:rRNA from 1 species